UACAGAGGGUGCUAGCGUUGUUCGGAAUCAUUGGGCGUAAAGGGCGUGUAGGCGGUUUGUUAAGUCAUGUGUGAAAUCCCUCGGCUCAACCGGGGAACGACGCAUGAAACUGGCAAGCUAGAGUACCAAAGAGGGGGGUGGAAUUCCCGGUGUAGCGGUGAAAUGCGUAGAGAUCGUAAGGAAGACCAGUGGCGAAGGCGGGUCUCUGGACAGUUCCUGACACUGAGGCACGAAGGCCAGGGGAGCAAACGGGG
rnacentral:rRNA from 1 species